GAGUUUGAUCAUGGCUCAGAACGAACGCUGGCGGCAGGCUUAACACAUGCAAGUCGAACGCCCCGCAAGGGGAGUGGCAGACGGGUGAGUAACGCGUGGGAAUCUACCCAGUUCUACGGAAUAACCCAGGGAAACUUGGACUAAUACCGUAUACGCCCUACGGGGGAAAGAUUUAUCGGAAUUGGAUGAGCCCGCGUUGGAUUAGCUAGUUGGUGGGGUAAUGGCCUACCAAGGCGACGAUCCAUAGCUGGUCUGAGAGGAUGAUCAGCCACACUGGGACUGAGACACGGCCCAGACUCCUACGGGAGGCAGCAGUGGGGAAUAUUGGACAAUGGGCGCAAGCCUGAUCCAGCCAUGCCGCGUGAGUGAUGAAGGCCUUAGGGUUGUAAAGCUCUUUCAGUGGGGACGAUAAUGACGGUACCCACAGAAGAAGCCCCGGCUAACUUCGUGC
rnacentral:rRNA from 1 species